AAAGAUUCAUCGGAAGAGGAUGGGCAUGCGGCGCAUUAGCUUGACGGCGGGGUAACGGCCCACCGUGGCGACGAUGCGUAGGGGUUCUGAGAGGAAGGUCCCCCACACUGGUACUGGGACACGGACCAGACUCCUACGGGAGGCAGCAGUGAGGAAUAUUGGUCAAUGGGAGAGAUCCUGAACCAGCCAAGCCGCGUGAGGGAAGACGGCCCUAUGGGUUGUAAACCUCUUUUGUCGGAGAACAAAACCCGGGACGUGUCCCGGACUGCGUGUAUCCGAAGAAAAAGCAUCGGCUAACUCCGUGCCAGCAGCCGCGGUAAUACGGAGGAUGCGAGCGUUAUCCGGAUUUAUUGGGUUUAAAGGGUGCGUAGGCGGUCUGUUAAGUCAGCGGUAAAAUUGCGGGGCUCAACCCCGUCGAGCCGUUGAAACUGGCAGACUUGAGUUGGCGAGAAGUACGCGGAAUGCGCGGUGUAGCGGUGAAAUGCAUAGAUAUCGCGCAGAACUCCGAUUGCGAAGGCAGCGUACCGGCGCCAGACUGACGCUGAGGCACGAAAGCGUGGGGAUCGAACAGGAUUAGAUACCCUGGUAGUCCACGCAGUAAACGAUGAAUGCUGGUUGUCCGGGUCGAAUGA
rnacentral:rRNA from 1 species